GUUUGAUCCUGGCUCAGGAUGAACGCUGGCGGCGUGCUUAACACAUGCAAGUCGAACGGUGAAGCCCAGCUUGCUGGGUGGAUCAGUGGCGAACGGGUGAGUAACACGUGAGCAACCUGCCCCUGACUCUGGGAUAAGCGCUGGAAACGGCGUCUAAUACUGGAUACGAGACGUGACCGCAUGGUCGACGUUUGGAAAGAUUUUUCGGUUGGGGAUGGGCUCGCGGCCUAUCAGCUUGUUGGUGAGGUAAUGGCUCACCAAGGCGUCGACGGGUAGCCGGCCUGAGAGGGUGACCGGCCACACUGGGACUGAGACACGGCCCAGACUCCUACGGGAGGCAGCAGUGGGGAAUAUUGCACAAUGGGCGAAAGCCUGAUGCAGCAACGCCGCGUGAGGGACGACGGCCUUCGGGUUGUAAACCUCUUUUAGCAAGGAAGAAGCGAAAGUGACG
rnacentral:rRNA from 1 species